GGUGCUAAUACCGCAUCGAUGUGCGAGGGUCGCAUGACUCUUGUACCAAAGGAGCAAUCCGCUGAAAGAUGAGCUCGCGUCUGAUUAGCUAGUUGGUGAGGUAACGGCCCACCAAGGCGACGAUCAGUAGCCGGACUGAGAGGUUGAAACGGCCACAUUGGAACUGAGAUACGGUCCAGACUCCUACGGGAGGCAGCAGUGGGGAAUAUUGGGGCAAUGGGCGCAAGCCUCGACCCCAGCAACGCCGUGUGAAGGAAGAAGGUCUUCGGAUUGUAAACUUUGUCUUAUGGGACGAUAGUGACGGUACCAUAGGAGGAAGUCACGACUAACUACGUG
rnacentral:rRNA from 1 species